CCCCUAGAUGUUCUGGGCCGCACGCGCGCUACACUGAACAGUUCAACAAGUCUUAACCUUGGCCGAUAGGUCUGGGUAAUCUUUGAACAUCGAUCGUGAUCGGGAUAGAUUCUUGUAAUUUUUGAUCUUAAACGAGGAAUUCCUAGUAAACGCAAGUCAUCAGCUUGCAUUGAUUACGUCCCUGCCCUUUGUACACACCGCCCGUCGCACCUACCGAUUGAAUGGUCCGGUGAAGCCUCCGGAUUGGCGCGCACCUCGGUGCCGCCGAGAAGUUGGCUAAACCUUACCAUUUAGAGGAAGGUGAAGUCGUAACA
rnacentral:rRNA from 1 species